GUGUGAUAAGGUAACUCUGAGUGCUUAUCUUUUGGUAGGCUUUUGCCAAGAGUAAAUUACGAAAAUGGGACAUUUUCGAAUGUAACCCAUUCGGCUUACAUAUCUUGGCGAAUGAGUGGUGGGCAAGACUGGUGCCAGCCGCCGCGGUAACACCAGCGCCACAAGUGGGAAUCGUGAUUAUUGGGCCUAAAGCGUCCGUAGCCGGUUUAUCAACUCUUUUGUGAAAUCGUUGAUUUGAAUUUAACGGCGUGCGAAAGAAACUGUUAAACUUGGAACCAGGAGGAGUCAGAAGUAUUUUUGAGGUAGCGGUAAAAUGUUAUAAUCUCAAAAGGACUACCGGUGGCGAAGGCGUCUGACUAGAAUGGAUUCGACGGUGAGGGACGAAAGCCAGGGGAGCAAUCCGGAUUAGAUACGAGAAGAUUUCUUACAGAAAUCGUCUGGAAUUAGCUCGUAAGAUUGUCACUACAUUACUUUACGAGUUGAUGAAAGAAUAACGAUGAAGUCUUACUCGCUAACUACCCGAGUAGUCCUGGCCGUAAACGUUGCGAGCUAGGUGUUGCACAUUCUCCGUGAAUGUGCAGUAUCGAAGCGAAGGUGCUAAGCUCGCCGCCUG
rnacentral:rRNA from 1 species